CUUUUUGGACAUCAUGCCUCUUUGAGAGUUAAAACUCUUGCUUUCAAGUAAUAGUGACUGGGAAGUGCUUUCAGAAUCCUGAGGUACUUCUGUUUCCUGUAACCCCAUCAGCCUGAAGAAAGGUGAAGUGGGUGAAUAUCAGACAGCUCAUUAUAGAGACAUGCAUGCUGCAUUCCCAAAGUAAGAUGACAGAACAAGUCAUGAUCAGUCAUUUACAGCAACGAAGGUAGACAGACAAAAAAAUAAAUUGCAUCAGUGCUUUCUGGAAAAUACGCACUGCCUUGCAGUAUUUGAAAAAAGAAUGGGGGAAAGACAAAAGAAAAUUAAGCUAAAUGUGAAGAGGAAAAGGUGCAACUGUAACUGGAGACAUCAAACUAUACAGAACUCUCUGUGACUCCACAAAUGUGGAUAAGAGUCAUGGAUGUUAAAGGAGACAUUAAUCAGGCUGUUGUGAAAGAUCUGAUACCAGCUUUGGUCAAGGGGGACGAGUGUCAUCCUGAGAGUGCUCCUCUCUGGGACAGGAAACCGGCGGAGCGAAGCCCCGAGAGCACGCCGCGACGCUUCAUAUUCAAUCCACAGCCCUAUAAAGAGAUGAAAAAUGAGCCUUGUCCAAAGCUCUUACCUCAGCACCCAGUGGCAAAAAUAAAAUGUGAGC